AGUCCAUGAUAAGGGCAUAGUCUUAGCAUGUCUUUAUAUCGCUCUCAAGCUUUGAAGAGUUAUUCGUUUUCUUUUUGGGAAAAUCUGUUGAUUUGACCUCUUAGCAU